GGACAGUAUAAGAUCAAAUAUUAUUUACCCUCACCGUAAACACGGUAUAAGCUAUAAUUCAUGAGAAGUAACACUUGCUAGAUUAAUUGUCGCCGCAUUUUUUCAAGUAUAAAAGCUUCAAUUAAACUGAAAAACGCGUUAAAGCAUCUUUAAAUCGAGCAAAGAAAGCGAAACAGAAUGAAACUUUUCAUCAUCUUGUCGGCCCUCAUGGUCGCGAUGGUCAGCGCAGCACCCUUCGACCCCUUCAAUCCAUCCACCUGGAAUCCGUUCCAACCGAACAACCAGCCUGCCGGUGGAGACUGGUGGCAACAGUUCAUUCCCAGCAUUCCUUCAAGCCUGGACCCGUUGAAUCUUUUCGGACCACGGAACGAGAGCUCCCCUCAACCGUCAUCGGCCGGAUCAAAUCAAGGUGCUGCUUCCUCCGGUAGCUCUGGAUCGUCUUCAUUGGCGAAUUCCACCAGCGGUUAUUAGAAGGCUCAGUUUUUACUGUUUUUUUGUAAUAAACUGCAAAUUUAGCCCGGUA